GAAUAUUGGUCGAUGGGCGCAAGCCUGAACCAGCCAUGCCGCGUGCAGGAUGACGGUCCUAUGGAUUGUAAACUGCUUUUGUACAGGAAGAAACAGUUCUACGUGUAGAACCUUGACGGUACUGUAAGAAUAAGGAUCGGCUAACUCCGUUCCAGCAACCGCGGUAAUACGGAGGAUCCAAGCGUUAUCCGGAAUCAUUGGGUUUAAAGGGUCCGUAGGCGGUUUGGUAAGUCAGUGGUGAAAGCCCAUCGCUCAACGGUGGAACGGCCAUUGAUACUGCCAGACUUGAAUCAUUAGGAAGUAACUAGAAUAUGUAGUGUAGCGGUGAAAUGCUUAGAGAUUACAUGGAAUACCAAUUGCGAAGGCAGGUUACUACUAAUGGAUUGACGCUGAUGGACGAAAGCGGGGGUAGCGAACAGG
rnacentral:rRNA from 1 species